rnacentral:guide_RNA from 1 species
AUGUAAGAACAAAAGCAGAUUCACGGUAUAAGAACAGAUAUAAAUUAA